UGACCUUGACUAAUUACACACACACACACAUGAGUUUUAAGAUCAGUAAUACUUACACAAAUCUGGUACAUCGACACAGCAAUCAAACUUUCCCAAACAUUAUGAUAAAGCCUUAUCUUUUAGAGCACAUGCAUGAAACUGAAUAAUCCACCACCUGUGAAAACUCAAGAAAUUAAAGCAUCAAAAGUGAGACUGACUUGUCGUCCUUUGGGAAGCAUGACUGUACCUCAUGGGAUAAGUUGAAGCACCAUAAACAUUGCGUCUCACAGAGAUAAAGCAGCAGCAGCAGCAGCAGCAGCAGCAAACUUUUUCUUUAUCUUUGAUCACUUCACUUGAAUGUUCAAAAAGUACAAGAGACGACGAUAUAACAUGAAACCUCACAUCUCAAAGCAAUCCUACAACUCUCCAGCAAACAUAUCCAAUUCUCUUACAAGCUAAAUACAAAAAGGGCAACACUCAAUAGCUUGGUUUGAAAUAACGUCUGAGACUACGCGAUGAAGAAAUAGCUACCUGAAGCAACCGGAGGUGCGCUUCAG
rnacentral:lncRNA from 1 species